CAAUGAAGGGGCUGACAAACAUGGCGCUCGUCCCUGUCGUUGUGUUGCAUGUCGUUGAAUGAGAGGGUGUCUUAUCAUUCAGAUAACAUCGGUUCAAGCAAACAUAAACCGUAGUGCAGUGAACGUACGGGCUUUGACUGGAUAGUGGGAUCAUCGACCGAUCUAGAUAGUUAGUGCGGCUGGACGAAGGGACAGAAAAAGAUAUAUCAAAGUUUGACUUGGAGACUGAAGAGCGGACAGGAGAUUUUGAAGUGUGUGUCUUCCCCACUGCAUUGGUCAUGAUUGACCAAACCUUGAAAGAUUGUUCUUGAAUUCUGGAAAAAACAGGCCACCCUGGGUUGAUUUCGAGCUCCAAAGACUGCCCUCUGUUGUCCAGAAACAAACAACCAAGCUGCUUUCCAAGAUUUGAGGUUGAGGGUGAUGUUUGGCCGGCCCUGCGCCAGCAACAAUGUGCGACUCAAGCAUGGAUUCUGUCGACCUAACAAGUAAGUGACUUGAAUGCUCCUCAU